CACGUAGGGCGCAAGCGUUGUCCGGAAUUAUUGGGCGUAAAGAGCUCGUAGGCGGCCAGUUACGUCCGCUGUGAAAUCCCGGGGCUCAACCCCGGGCGUGCAGUGGAUACGGGCUGGCUGGAGGCAGGCAGGGGAGAACGGAAUUCCUGGUGUAGCGGUGAAAUGCGCAGAUAUCAGGAGGAACACCGGUGGCGAAGGCGGUUCUCUGGGCCUGUUCUGACGCUGAGGAGCGAAAGCGUGGGGAGCGAACAGG
rnacentral:rRNA from 1 species